rnacentral:rRNA from 1 species
CCCGAAACCAAGUGACCUACCCAUGACCAGGUUGAAGGCGCGGUAAAACGCGCUGGAGGACCGAACCCACGUAAGUUGAAAAUUGCGGGGAUGAGUUGUGGGUAGCGGUGAAAUUCCAAACGAACUUGGAGAUAGCUGGUUCUCUCCGAAAUAGCUUUAGGGCUAGCCUCGCAAAGAGGAUGCUGGAGGUAGAGCUCUGUUUGGACUAGGGGCCCGUCAAGGGUUACUGAAUUCAGAUAAACUGCGAAUUCCAGACAUUUAUGUGCGGGAGUCAGACUGCGAGUGAUAAGAUCCGUAGUCGAAAGGGAAACAGCCCAGAUCACCAGUUAAGGUCCCAAAAUUCAUGCUAAGUGGAAAAGGAUGUGGAGUUGCGCAGACAACUAGGACGUUGGCUCAGAAGCAGCCAUCAUUCAAAGAGUGCGUAAUAGCUCACUAGUCGAGUGACGCCGCGCCGAAAAUUUACCGGGGCUAAGCAUGAUACCGAAACUGUGGAUGUGCAUUUAUGCACGUGGUAGGAGAGCGUUCUAGCGGCGGUGAAGCAUGACCGAGAGGACAUGUGGAGCUUCUAGAAGUGAGAAUGCCGGUAUGAGUAACGAAAGACAGGUGAGAAUCCUGUCCGCCGCAAGACUAAGGUUUCCUGGGGCAGGCUCGUCCGCCCAGGGUAAGUCGGGACCUAAGGCGAGGCCGAGAGGCGUAGUCGAUGGACAACAGGUUGAAAUUCCUGUACUGCACCGAAUCGUUAUGAGCGAUGGAGGGACGCAGGAGGCUAGCAGCGCGUGGUGCUGGAUACCACGUUCAAGCGUCAAGUCUGAGAGCGAGUCAAAUGCUUGCUCUCAUAAGGACAAGGCGUGAUGAGGAGCGAAAUUAAAGUAGCGAAGG